UACGUAGGGGGCUAGCGUUGUCCGGAAUCAUUGGGCGUAAAGCGCGCGUAGGCGGCCAGAUAAGUCCGGUGUGAAAGUCACAGGCUCAACCUGUGAAUGCCGCUGGAAACUGUCUGGCUUGAGUCCGGAAGGGGCGAGUGGAAUUCCUGGUGUAGCGGUGAAAUGCGCAGAUAUCAGGAGGAACACCAUGGCGAAGGCAGCUCGCUGAACGGUACUGACGCUGAGGCGCGAAGCGUGGGAGCAAACA
rnacentral:rRNA from 1 species